GAGGCAGAGAGUUUCGGUCUGUGCUUUUAUGGAGUUUAUGUUUGAGAAGAAGGGACAGAGAAAAAUAAACACACAGCGAAGAGAAUGCAGUGCCUGGAUUACCAAUUCCUACAGCAGGGCUCAUGGGACUCCCCAGAUUAGUUAACUAGGCUCACCAAACCACGGGAUUGCUGGCAGGAUGGAUGCUGUUGAAACGGUCGGCCAGCUCCCUUGCAGUGUGACCUGCCUUCCUUUAGAAGUCAUCGGGGUUUUCAGCCUCUCCUGCCUGGGAGCCCAUCUAGGUCUUUCAGAUGACUUUGCAUAUUUCUGUUCUCAUCCACUGAUGUGAAGGGUCAAAUCUGAGUGCAG